UACGGGGGGGGCAAGCGUUGUUCGGAAUUACUGGGCGUAAAGGGCGCGUAGGCGGCCUACUAAGUCAGACGUGAAAUCCCCAGGCUUAACUUGGGAACUGCGUCUGAUACUGGGUGGCUUGAGUUCGGGAGAGGAAUGUGGAAUUCCAGGUGUAGCGGUGAAAUGCGUAGAUAUCUGGAGGAACACCGGUGGCGAAGGCGGCAUUCUGGACCGAAACUGACGCUGAGGCGCGAAAGCCAGGGGAGCAGACGGG
rnacentral:rRNA from 1 species